rnacentral:sRNA from 1 species
GCCUAAGCCUAAGCCAAAGCCUAACCUAAGACUAAGCCUAAGCCUAAGCCUAAA